rnacentral:misc_RNA from 1 species
GCCUUUGUUUUUAUUUAUUAUUUAAUCAUAAGUGAAAAGAAGGGCUGAAGCGGUAUUAAAGAUGCUCCGUCCUUGCUGUUAUUAUUUAGAGUCCUGGAUAAUUAUAAAUAUUGGUCAUCUCAGGUCGAUGAUCAGACGACGGUGUCAGAUUAAUUUAGAUGAAGAUCCCUUGGAGUAAAUUUACGUUAAUGACUUCCGUUAUCAUUUUGAGUCUGGAUAUAUAUGAAGUGAUGGCCUCUUUACCAGAGUCACCCAAUCUUGCCUUUGCAGCAGCGGCUGCCGCCGCUGCUGCUGCUUCCGCAGUACAUCGAAGUCCUGGAGUAGACUACUACGCUAACAUGAUGAGUAAAAUAUGGGGAGCGGGGAUUCUUUCUCCUCCUGGAGAGAGCAGCAACAUCCCCCUUCCACCUAUCAAUUUGGAUAGCCUGCGAUUUUCCCCCCAAGACCAAGUCAACUCAGGCGUCAAUUCCGAUAAAAUCCAUCCUGGACUCCUCAACAAUAACAACAACAGCACCAAUCAUAAUAAUAACAUCCCAUCUAAAAAAAUUACAUCCAUCAAUAACAUUAAUAAUAAUAAUAAUAGUAUUAUUAGUAACAACAACAACAACAACAAUAAUAAUAACAAUAGCAGACUUGCCUUGAAAGGACAAAUCACUUGCAACUGUGGAACCACCUUUCCAAAUCUCGAAGUUCUUGAGCGGCACAUGGUUGCUCAUCAUCCUGAAAACACUAAUUUACUGUGUGCCAUUUGCUCCAAGCAAUUCCCUAAUUUUACCAAACUCCAAAGACACAUGACCAAUCACAAUGAUAGUCCUGAUCUUAGGAAAUUCAAGUGCUCUCGUUGUGGAAAAGCAUUUAAAUUCAAACAUCACCUCAAGGAGCAUGAAAGAAUCCAUACCGGAGAAAAACCUUUUGAGUGUAAACAUUGUGGGAAAAGGUUCUCACAUUCUGGGUCUUAUUCCUCUCAUACAACUUCCAAAAAGUGUCUGCAACUUGGACGACGACCCAAUGGUGGUGCCCCACCUCAAAGCCACCAUCUUCCACAAACCUCAUCUUCACAGUCAAGUCAACAACCUAUGCUAUUCGGAGGAUCUCCAUCGAAACAAAAUUUGGCAACUUCUUGGUCCUCUUCACUUCGACCCCCAUUCCAUCAACCCCAUCCUAAGCCCUUAAACAGUCGAGAUCACCAGCAAUCCAUGCCUCUUUCCCCUCCCCUUACACCACUACCAACCGCUCGAUUUCCACCUCCUGGAGUAAUGCUUCAGGGACCGUAUCCUCCUCCUCAACCUCCCCAUUUGCAAAGUUUCUUGCUCGCUGCAGCACAAUAUAAUCCUCUAAUAGGUCAAGGGCCCAGACCGAAUCAUCUCGAGUUUAUGGAAAAUCUUCAGAGAUAUUUACAGAUGCGUACAAGUCUUGCUGAAAAUAGCAUGACGCCCCUUAUCACCACCAAUACUACUACUCUACCAAUGUCUGUCGUGGAAGAGGAUGACGAUAAGAAAUCUCACGAAUUUAAAUUAAUGAAUAACAAUACUUUAGAAGAAGAGGAUGCAAUUAUUGGGAGUGGCGGAAAGUCUGUCAUGCUCAAGAGAGAAGAAGAGUUGGUUGAGGAUGAAAUGAAGGAGGAGGAUGUGGAUGAAGAAGAGGAUGAGGAGGAUGAAACCAAAAACAUGCACAACAAUAAUACCAACCUUCGAGAGGACGUGACACGCUCACAUGACAAUAACAAAGUAGAUGUACUCAAACAGCAACUACAGGAACAGGCAAGACUUGUCAUGAUGAAAAAGUUCUUGGAAAAUGUUAAUGCCGAAUCAAAGAGGCUAGAUGGAACAUCUCUCAGUGAGGAUCUUGCGGAUGGAUCAGAUUCUUCUGUUAUAAUUCCUUGUAAGUUUGACUGUGGUAGAAAGUUUAAAUCGGAUGCAUUAGUGGAUUUGAUUCGUCAUCAAGAGAGUUGUGACUCCAUUUGCGAUGAUCAAGAUAGUCAAGACGGAAUGAACGCAGGAGGCUCUGCUGGUUCAGCAGAUGAGAGAAAGGUGAGAGUGCGAACACUGAUAUCUGAGGAGCAGUUGUCCGUGUUAAAAACGUAUUAUACACUAAAUCCCCGGCCAAAACGGGAAGAGUUGGAAAAAAUAGCAGCUGAGAUUGGUCAUCCUUUUAAAGUAGUCAAAGUCUGGUUUCAGAACUCACGUGCUCGAGAUCGUCGAGAGGGAAAGCCCUUAAAUCAAACUUUGGGCCCAUAUCCAGGGGAUGCCUCAUCUCCUCAACUUAUGGCAGGUCUGCUUUCUAGAGUUUCGGCUGCCCUUCAUAAUAACAACAAUAGAAAAUGCGACUCCAAGACUCCAGAUUCCACACUUUCUGAAAAUACGUAUGAUGAUCAGCCCUUGGAUCUCUCCAACAAAGGAUCCUCUCCUUCAGCCUCUCCUGCCUCUCAACACAAGGACGAAGCUCUCAAUCUGAGUGCUGGAUGUGGUGGUAAUUCCGCCAUUCCUCUCUUUCCUAUUCUACCGCAAAAUCUAUCUACUCUACAAGACAUUUACAAGCUCAGAGAGGAGUCAAACAAUGAGGAUGAAGGUGGCUACGUAUGCACAAAAUGCAAUAAAUCCUUUAACAAACAAACGGCAUUAGCUAAGCAUUGCAGCAUCGAGCAUUCGGAGUCGAGACCCUAUCAGUGCGAGUACUGCGAAAAGGCAUUUAAACAUAAACAUCAUCUAUGUGAGCACAAACGUCUCCACACGGGAGAAAAACCCUUCCAAUGCUCUCAGUGUUUGAAAAGAUUUUCGCAUUCUGGAUCCUAUAGUCAGCAUAUAAAUCACCGCUACAAGAGUUGCAAGCCCCUCAACAACGCACCCACGAAUACAAAUACCACCUCCACGAAUCCCAACUCACCCCCGUCUCUCCUCGUACCCCCUCCAACUACAACAAUCACCUCCUCCUCUUCUGAUGGAUCCCCUACAUCUUCACUCAUUAUGGAGAAUGGACAUCACCAUCAUCAUGAAGGAUCCGCUCCUCUUAAAGAAGAGAGUGGAGAAAUAACAACAACCCUUCCACACUCGCAUAUGAACAAUCUCAUUCGAUUCUCAAGACCUGUGGUCGUGGAUGAUGAGGAGGACAACCACAAAAAUCCUAUUCCAAAUAUGAACAACAAUGAGGAAGACUCUCAGUAGUGGUGUCUUCUACUGGAACACCUUCCUCAACCACACCCCCACACACCUCCCCACAACGAUGAUAGUCAAUUUAAUUCUUACUGAAUAGAUUUUUUUAAAUGUAAAGAAAAUAUAAUAUUUAAAUAAUUUUGUUAAAAAUGCUCUUUAGAAUGAUGAUGAUUUUCUCCUCUCUUUUAUUUCUCUCUCUCUCUCUCCAAACUUCAAACAUUCUUUAGACAUAUUAUUAUUAUAAUUAAUACUACCAUUAUUGAUAUUAUUAUUAUUAUAGAAAGGAUCCCCCUAUUAAAAGAAAUUUGUAAAUAGUUCUACGAAGGCCGCUUACCAUUUUGUAUACUUUUUUUAAAUAUUUCAUUUGCGGUCGACUUUUUGUUUUGUUUUAUGAAUUUUUGUAAAUAGAGGCUUUCUAGUUAAGAAAAAAAGAAGAAAAGCAGAGAGUAACGACUACUAUUAUAUACAACCUUCUACUUACUACUUGAAAAAUUCGCCAAAAACUGCGUCCUUGACCAAAAAAAGAUGUAAAAAAGAAAAGAAGGGGGGAAUCAACCCCGGUUUACUCUCUUUAUUUUCCAUAUAAAAAGGCUUUCUUUUUUAGCUUUCAAACUGUUUAUUACACCGUAUAAAGGAACACAGAUUUAUUUUUUUUCUAAAAAAAAUUUAAAUAUAUAUAUAAAAAUUAAUGAAUUAUAAAUAAAACCAACUAGUUUUAUAUGUUGGAGGGUUAUGCAGUGCAGGUUAUGGGCCCGCAUUUAAGUCGUUGAUAUUAAAUUCUCAAAAAUUAUAUAAUUAUUGUUACAUAUGUGAUAUAUAUUUUCUGUUCCUUGAUAUUUCUUUUUUUAGUUUCUUUAUCAUUAAUUUUUUUUGGACUUUAUAAUUAACGCUCGCAUGAUACACCCCUCCCUUUCCCCACAACCACCUUCUAUAUGUACGUUUAAUUUGUAAUAGUAAAUUUUUACUUGCUUUAACGGUUAUUAUUUUUAGGCUUGCAUCAUUCGUAUUGGUUGAUCCCCCCAAACUCCCCUCAAAAAAUUAAAGUUAUUAUGACGAUUCUUACCAUUAUGCACUACAGACCUUUUUUUUUUUUUUUUACUAUAUUUUUUUAGUUAUCUCGUUAUUUUUUUUCUCAUGAAAACUAUUGUAUAAGGAUAGACAAAUGUACCAAGUUGUAAAUAAAAACAUUCCUAUAUUUGCCGUUCAUUGCGACAGAGAAAAUUAAA